GUUAAUCUCCAGCACUCCUGUGCCAUUUGUGGUUCUGGAGAGGUCUCUGAGAGCAGGACCCAGUCCCCCACGACUUCCCUACAUGCUGUACAGUCACAACAGGACUCAUCCUGAGACUGCGAAACCUAUCAGAAAGAAGUCUUGGUUUCUCAUAGCUCAUGUGCUCUCCCAACAUAUUAAAUGGAGACUGCAGACUCAUAAACAGUAAAAGGAACUGUAGCAUCUCUGUUUGUUCCAUAUUUUGGCUUUUCCCAAUUACUUCCAUGUUUGUGGUUGAGAUGCCAAGUAUACGAGGGGUACUUCAAGAAAUUCAUGGAAACAUGGAAAUAAAAGUUUAUUUUGAAGCAAAAAUUACUGAAGCCCAUGCCUGGUUUCUCCAUAAUAUUCAUUUCCAUGGACUUUAAAAAACCCUCAGGUUCUUAUCCAUGUUGAAGAAGUCUCCUGCCACUACACCUAGAAUAUCACCAGAGGGGCUGGCAUUAUGGUUAAGUUGCCGCCUGCGACACCAGCAUCCCAUAUGGGUGCCGGUUCAUGUCCUGGCUGCUCUUCUUUCAAUCCAGCUCCUUGGUAAUGGCCUGGGAAAGCAGAGGAAGAUGGCCCACCUGCUGCCGCAUUUCCCCACAAAACCCAGCUCUCAGCUUCCCUACAGAGCCAAGACCUCCCCCUGCACCCCUGCCCACUCUGCGCACUCCUUCCUGGCUCCUGGAGCCUCGACCACUCACGUGGAAGGCAGGACGAAAACUUGGUGAGCCAGCAGCCCAAGUGGAAAUUCUGAAUGCAGGUCCCCUGCCAAUGUGAGACUGAGUGCUGGCUGUGCUCUCAGUCUGGAUCCUGUCCAAACAAGAGAAACAAAAGUACAUGCAGGACGUCAGCAGCCUCCAGAACCUCAGGUGACAAGCAACCCCAGGGGCCCCUGCACGGGGCCCUGCUGUGAGUGGGGAACUGCCUGGCUGUGGGCACAAGCUGGAUUUCAGGGGGACCCUGAGUGAGGGGAGGAGUGAGACAUGAGCAAGGACACAGCAGCAGUGCAGAGGGAACCCAGCCCCAAGACACUGGCAGAGCAGAGACCAGAGAACAGCUUCCUGGAACCGAGGGGUAAUUCCAGGGACUAUGGGGUGUGGCAGGGAAGACGGGGUCACCCUUUCUGAGAUCCCCACUGAGACAGCUUCAUCGAAAUCAUUACUAUUCCGUCACUAUCGCGAGAGAAGCCAUUUCCUUUAGACAAUAAGAGCGUGCAAACAGCCCGGGGAAGAUCUGAAGCCUCCAAAGCGGAAGUCAGCGUGGGGCACUCGGCCCCCAUGCUGCACGGCUUCAGCCGAGUUAGAGUGAGAGAAGCAUGGUGGGGAAAAGAAGAGAUAACUUUCCUUCUUCUGUCAGAAUCUUCCUGGAAAAGUACAGGCAGCUCAGAGUGUCCACUGCACACUGCAGGACACAGAGCAAGCAAUACCAGGUCAGCGCUUCCUGUGGUCCCUGAUGACGUGGCAGUCAGGCAGUGCUGCUGGAAGCCGCUCACUGCAGCCACAGCUCACGCAGGGGCCAGCCAGGGGCUGAGUGCCUGGGGAUGCUAAGUGCAUGGAGCCCAUUAUCGCCAACCCUUCUCGGAACUGACAGCCUGGGAACUGGAGCACGAACAUCUAAGAGGGUGAAGAGGGAAGCGGUCACCUCAGACGCCCCAGAGUCACCAAGCUAAGUCAGGCUUCAAGGAGCCAUCAGAAGAGCUGGGACUCCAGGGAGCAUAGAAUUCUCCACUGACUGGACGGGCAGUGCAUCCCCUGCUUCUAAAGAUCUCUGUGGCAGGAACUCUCUGAGGCCAAGGGCAAUGAAUACCAGCGUGCGGCCAUCGAGAAACAGGCUCUGUGAGCCCACAGCAUGCACCCUCCCACCUGGAGAGAAGGGAGGCAGCUGGACACCCGCGCUGAGCCAAGCUGGACCAUACCUGCAGACGCAUCACUGUGUCCAGGACUGCGUCUCCUGCAGAGCUAGAGAAAUGCCGAUUCCUGACCAGCGGCACAGUACAAAGACAACGUGCUCAUCCACUGUGCUCUUAAGCAUGACUCGACUGUGAUGAGGUGGGGCAGAAAAGCUAAGGCAAUGGGCCUGUGCUGUGCUAUAGCAGGUGAAGUCCAGGCCUGCAGAGCUGGCAUCCCAUAUGGGCUCCGGUUCUAGUCCCAUCUGCUCCACUUCUGAUCAAGCUCCCUGCUGAUGGCCUAGGAAAGCAGUAGAUGAUGUACAAGUGUGUGGGCCCCUGCACACACGUGGCAGAGCUGGAAGGAGCUCCUGGCUCCUGGCUUAGGCCUGGCCCAGCCCCAGUCAUCGUAAUUGUUUGGGGAGUGAACCAGUGGAUGGAAGAUCUCUCUCUGUCUCUGACUCUCUCUCUCUCUCUAUAACUCCACCUUUCAAAUAAAUAAAGUAAAUCUUGGAAGGAAGGAAGGAUGAAAAGCCGAGGCACGGUGCACUUUGCCUGCCAAGCAGGAGAAAUCGCAUUCCUCACCAUGAAUCUGCUCUCAAGCUGGUUGGGAGCUGUCAAACCCCACACUGAUGUGGAGAACAAGGCUCUGGAGUGAUCAGAGGUCAUGGAGAACAAGUGACAUGACACUGGAACCAGUUAUGACCACAGCAGCCACAGAGCCUUGGCCCCUGCUCCCAUUCAACCUCACACAGAACAGCCAUGGCCACAAAGAUGCAUCUCACUGUCAAUCACUCAAAUGGUGUUGUAACAGACUUCAGCUACACAGGAGAUUCUGCCUAUCUUUAGUCACAUGCAAAGCAUGUGAGAUGAUGGAUGCCCUCAGCACCCUGACCACCUGACUAUGGAUGCUCUCACCCUGUGAGAGCAUGGAUGCCUUACCUUGUGAGACCAUGGAAGUCCUCACCCUGUGACCCCCUGACCAUGGAUGCCCUCACCACACUGACCCCCCUGACCAUGGAUGUCCUCACUCUGUGAGAUCAUGGACACCCUCACCCUGUGACAACCUGACCGUGGAUAUCCUCACCACACUGACCCCUUGAUCAUGGACACCCUCACCCUGUGAGACUAUGGACACCCUCACCCUGUGACCCUUUGACCAUGGAUGCCCUCACCACACUGACCCCUUGAACAUGGACACCCUCAACCUGUAAGACCAUGAACACCCUCACCCUGUGACCCCGACCAUAGACAUCCUCACCCUGUGAGACCAUCUGUAUCUGCAGUGUAUCAACGAUGUCAAAUGAUGGACAUCUUCACCCUAUUUAACCAUUUCACUUUUUUAUCCUAUAAAAUCACAUUAUAAACCUCAAAAUACACAACAAAAUUUUUCAGAAAUGCAAUAAUUAAUGAAUAAAAGGUGAUAAUUUAGGUUACAAAAAGUUCGUGAAACUGUGCAACAUGAAAAUCCGUGUGUUUCAAAAAUUUUGACAAUGAACUUAUGUUUUUCAAUUUGCCAUGACUUUUGGAGCACACUCCUACAGGGGAGCUGUAAAAUGCAGUGGCACGGAGGUGCUGCCUCACAGGGCUGUGGCUACACACAAGGGCUGCACCACGGUGGAUGUGGCCCUCAUGCGACUCCUCUAACACUGGAGGAGCUGAAGUGUGAGGCCAGCUCUGUCCUGGCUGAGGCCGCCGCACUCAGGGGAACCCAGGAGGUCCCCUCAGAGGUGGCCUCUGAGCAGACCCCAGGGUGAAGCCAGGAUCCUUCCCAGCUAUGGGGACCACCCCAGGCCCUGUGCACUGCCGAGCUCAGCCGCGGUGGCACUGGUGUGAGCUGUUUCACGACCCAUUCUCUGGCCUCAAUCAAACCCCAUACAGUGCUCACGGACCCUCUCCUGGCCCACACAGUCCUCCUGUUCUCAGCUGUGUCUGCUGUCACUGCCCCACCUGCACGCCUGUCUCUGCAUCUGGAGAGGGGCCUCCCUGUCCACUUGUCUCAGAGGCCCAUGCUGGCCCCUGAAAACAGGUACCUGAUGGCUGGAAAGGCCUCAGAUGUGACCUGCACAUGGCCCCAGAACAUACAGCAUGAGCAAAGCACCUCUGGUCUUUAAAUAAGUUAGGGAAAACCCAGCCUGACAAGCUUCCUUGUGGGGGGACCCUGGGAGGUGCUCAGAGGCGCCGCUCAGGGCUACAAGCACCAACCGUGGCCUCACCCACUGUGGUCCCCAGUGUUUUAGCACAGAGCAAGACACAAGGUUAGGGUUGAGAAAAUGCAGAUGGGUCAGCUGUGGUUCCUCCACCACCCACACACAAUCAGGCAGGGCAGAAGCCAACAGAAAAACGGCCCAGGGCAGGAGUCCCUCCCUGUGCGGCUAUCAGAUCUCUGACUUUAACCCAGGACAGACAGGGUCAGGAAUGAAGGUGUGGCCUGGACAGAGCACAGUGGAUGGCCCGGGCUCCCAGGACACCACCCACUGCCUGACCUGCAUGCCUGCAAACGAGCUGGAGCACAGGGAAUGCCCGCAGCCCAGGACUGCACAGGGGUGACCCCAGUAGCACAUGCAGCACAACCAGCGUGCUAGGUAGCGAACAGCACACAGGGAGGGCUGCUCGCGUUUGAACUCGGGAAGAUAAAACGAGCUCCUGUGAACACAUUGUCAUUAUGAGAGUCAUGCUGUUGGACGGCGGGAAGACGCAGCCAUGGACCCAGAGAGGCAGGUGUUCCAAAUGCCCAUUCAGCUGAGCCCACCCCACAGCCAGCCCCACUGCCACAGCAGCCUUCUGAGGAGGCCGUGCUAAGGGGAGAUCCACAGCGACACCUCCCACAGCACUCCUGGGGCUCCCGCGCUCUUCCCUUCCUGAGCGAGGCUUGGUCUUGGAAAGCAUCGAGAUUCCACUUUAAUGAAGGCCGGCGCUGCGAGCUGCAGGUUUUUGCAUAAAACCAGGAUCCACUGGGCCUUUGACAGCCCUGAUCUUUCUCACUGGGUCUCUCCUCAAGGAGAUGAGGCGCAUUCAUCAGCAGACACGUGACCACAUCUUCACAUUGCUUCUUCAUGCACGAGCCCUUUCCUGUUCUCUCGUUUUAAAGAACUGUCUGACAGGCAGAGACUGGACAACAGUGAGAUCUUGCACCCUGCAGUUCACUCCCUAGAAGACUGCAACAGCCAGGGCUGGGCCAGGCCAGAGCCAGAACCAGGGACUUCUCCAGGUAUACUAUGGGUGGUGGGAGGGGCCCAAGCACUUUCACCAUCUUUUGGUGCCUUCGAGAUGCACUAGGAGGAGGCUGGAUGGGGAUCAGAGCAGCCAAGAUGUGAGCCAGCUCUCCGACACGGGUGCUGGUGUCACAAGCAGUGGCUUCACAACUGGGCCACAACACCAUCCAGGCUUCCCUCACUAACCUGCACAUUUUUUAAUUCAUGAAGUUCUAUCAAUAAAAAUGACUGCUUCAGAGCUGCUUAUUAUGGUCUAAUAUCAUGUAUAUUAACAACCAAAAGGUGCACAGAACACUGUGAAAAGGAAGAAAUGGUCCACAAGAACAGUAGAUGGUACUACACUGUGUGGUGUAAGGUGUACACACAGGGACAGGCACAGUGCUACACUCUGUGUGUGUGAGGUGUACACACAGGAACAGGAACAGUGCUACACUGUGUGUGUGAGGUAUGCACACAGAGACAGGCACAGUACUACACUGUAUGUGUGAGGUGUGCACACAGGGACAGGCACAGUGCUACACUCUGUGUGGUAUGAGGUGGACACACGGGGACACACAGUGCUACACUGUGUGUUGUGAGGUAUACACAUGGGGACAGGCACAGUGCUAUACUCUCUGUGUAGUGUGAGGUGUACACAUGGGGACAGGCACAGUGCUAUACCAUGUGAUGUGAGGUGUGAACAUGGGACAGGCACAGUGCUACACCCUCUGUGUAGUGUGAGGUGUACACUUGGGGACAGGCACAGUGCUAUACCGUGUGGUGUGAGGUGUGCACACAGAAAAAGGCACAGUGCUACACUGUGUGUUGUGAGGUGUGCACACAGGGAUAGGCACAGUGCUACACCCUCUGUGUGUGUGAGUGUGCACAUGGGGACAGACACAGUGCUACACCUUCUGUGUGUAUGAGGUGUACACACGGGGACAGGCACAGUGCUACACCCUCUGUGUGUGUGAGGUGUGCACAUGGGGACAGGCACAGUGCUACACUGUGUGUGUGUGAGGUUUGCACACAGGGACAGGCACAGUGUUACACUCUGUGUGUGUGAGGAGUGCACACAGGGACAGGCACAGUGCUACACCCUCUGUGUGUGUGAGGUGUACACAUGGGGACAGGCACAGUGCUACACCCUCUGUGUGUGUGAGGUGUACACAUGGGGACAGGCACAGUGGUACACUAUGUGUGGUAUGAGGUGUACACAUGGGGACAGGCACAGUGCUACACUGUGUGUGUGUGAGGUUUGCACACAGGGACAGGCACAGUGUUACACUCUGUGUGUGUGAGGAGUGCACACAGGGACAGGCACAGUGCUACACCCUCUGUGUGUGUGAGGUGUACACAUGGGGACAGGCACAGUGGUACACUAUGUGUGGUAUGAGGUGUACACACGGGAACAGGCACAGUCCUACAUUGUGUGGUGUGAGGUGUGCACACAGGGACAGACACAGUGCUACACUGUGUAGUGAGAGGUAUACACAUGGGGACAGGCACAGUGCUACACUGUGUGUGUGAGGUGUGCCACAGGUACAGGCAUAGUGCUACACCCUCUGUGUGUGUGAGGUGUGCACAUGGGGACAGGCACAGUGCUACACUGUGUGUGUGUGAGGUUUGCACACAGGGACAGGCACAGUGUUACACUCUGUGUGUGUGAGGAGUGCACACAGGGACAGGCACAGUGCUACACCCUCUGUGUGUGUGAGGUGUACACAUGGGGACAGGCACAGUGCUACACCCUCUGUGUGUGUGAGGUGUACACAUGGGGACAGGCACAGUGGUACACUAUGUGUGGUAUGAGGUGUACACAUGGGGACAGGCACAGUGCUACACUGUGUGUGUGUGAGGUUUGCACACAGGGACAGGCACAGUGUUACACUCUGUGUGUGUGAGGAGUGCACACAGGGACAGGCACAGUGCUACACCCUCUGUGUGUGUGAGGUGUACACAUGGGGACAGGCACAGUGGUACACUAUGUGUGGUAUGAGGUGUACACACGGGAACAGGCACAGUCCUACAUUGUGUGGUGUGAGGUGUGCACACAGGGACAGACACAGUGCUACACUGUGUAGUGAGAGGUAUACACAUGGGGACAGACACAGUGCUACACCCUCUGUGUGUGUGAGGUGUGCACACAGGGACAGGCACAGUGCUACACUGUGUGUGUGAGGUGUGCACACAGGGACAGGCACAGUGCUACACUGUGUAGUGAGAGGUAUACACAUGGGGACAGGCACAGUGCUACACUGUGUGUGUGAGGUGUGCACACAGGUACAGACACAGUGCUACACCCUCUGUGUGUGUGAGGUAUACACAUGGGGACAGGCACAGUGCUACACUGUGUGUGUGAGGUGUACACAUGGGGACAGACACAGUGCUACACCCUCUGUGUGUGUGAGGUGUACACAUGGGGACAGGCACAUACACUAUGUGUAAUAUGAGGUGUACACACGGGGACAGGCACAGUGCUACACUGUGUGUGUGAAGUGUGCACACUGGAACAGAAAAGCAGGACCUUUGGAGGAAAUGCAUUGAUCUGCAGAUGGCUCCUGAACCCCUCACCUGGAUCAUCCUCUAACAGGUCCUCAGCCUCCAAGGGUUUUGGUGAGUACUCAGAGGAUGCCUCCUGUUCACACCUAAAGCAUGGCCAGGACAGAGCUGGGCUGGACAGAAGCUGCCCCUGGGAGGGGGUGGUGGGGAAGCAAGGACUUUCCUUAGACUCGGAUGGACCAUGGGUCUCAGUCUCCUCAACAAAUGUCACCAACUCCCCUGCACUCAGAAAACACAGGUGCACCCACAGAUACACACACAUGUGCAUACACAUGGUCACAGACAUGUACCAGGCACACGAACAUGCACACAUGCAUGUAGGUAGCAGAAACACACUCGCAUGCCCACGUACACACACACAGAAGUUCCCUACUGUGGACAUCAAACCAUGCAUCUUGUCUCGUGACUCAGCUUCCAGUGAGCUGGACCCCAGGCCCUGCCCCGCCGGGGCGCCACAGCAUCACAGCAGGGUCUGGGCUCAAAGCACAAGCUGCCUCCGUCUGCCUUCUGUUACUUCAGCCGAAACACCUCAGAUGGCAGUGCUCCUCCUAGCUUGGUCUACAGGCUCACAGUCCAGGGCAGGCAGCCUCAUUACCCUGGCCUCUGCUGGACACUGUCAAGGACAGAGUGUGUGCAAGGCACAACCACGGGUCCAGGCGGGACUCAGACAACAGCGCCAUUUCAACAGCUAUCCUCCCAGUGACCCAAGGACCUCCCGCUGGGGCCAUACUGGAUCCACUGAUAUUAAUGCAUUGCAUUCACGAAGACUGCGGGAACAAGACUGUAAUGCAAGGUUCUUUGGAGGACAAAUUAUUUUCCUAACCAUUAUAUGUUCAAUUAUCUAGACCCACGCUGCAGGCAAAGCUGACCCUACCACAGGAGAUCCUACAGAAAUCACGGAGGUUCCUAAGCCACCUCGGCAACCUGCUUUCUUGUCUUCAGAGAAGCAGCACCUCUGGAGCUUCUUUUAAAGUAAGAGAGAUCUUGGCCGGCGCUGCGGCUCAAUAGGCUAAUCCUCUGCCUUGUGGCGCCGGCACACCGGGUUCUAGUCCCGGUCGGGGCGCCGGAUUCUGUCCCGGUUGCCCCUCUUCCAGGCCAGCUCUCUGCUGUGGCCAGGGAGUGCAGUGAAGGAUGGCCCAGGUGCUUGGGCCCUGCACCCCAUGGGAGACCAGGAUAAGUACCUGGCUCCUGCCAUCGGAUCAGCGUGGUGCGCCAGCCACAGCGCAAAGGCCGCGGCGGCCAUUGGAGGGUGAACCAACGGCAAAAGGAAGACCUUUCUCACCUGUCUCUCUCUCUCACUGUCCACUCUGCCUGUCAAAAAAAAAAAAAAGUAAGAGA